rnacentral:rRNA from 1 species
UUUGACCUCAAAUCAGGUAWGACUACCCGCUGAACUUAAGCAUAUCAAUAAGCGGAGGAAAAGAAACUAACAAGGAUUCCCCUANUAACUGCGAG